AGCGAACGCUGGCGGCAGGCCUAACACAUGCAAGUCGAACGAAAACUUCGGGCUUAGUGGCGGCCGGGUGCGAACCACGUGGGAACGUGCCUUUAGGUUCGGAAUAACUGAGGGAAACUAGUCGUAAUACCGACUGAGACCUCCGAGGGAAUGAUUUAGCGCCUUUAGAGCGGCAGGCGACGGCUUAGCUUGUUGGUGGAGGUAAUGGCUCACUAGAGCGACGAGCAGUAGCUGGUCUGAGAGAAUGGUCAGACACAUUGGGAGUGAGACACGGCCCACACUCCUGCGCGAGGCAGCAGUGGGGGAUCCAGCACAAUGGCCGGAAGCCUGACGCAGCCAUGCCGCGUGAAUGAUGUUGUUCGUAGGAUAGUGGAAUUCUUUCAUCGGGGACGAUAAUGACGGUACCCGGAGAAGAAGCCCCGGCUAACUUCGUG
rnacentral:rRNA from 1 species